UACGGAGGGAGCGAGCGUUGUUCGGAAUUACUGGGCGUAAAGGGUGCGCAGGCGGCUAUGUAAGUCGGAAGUGAAAUCCCAGGGCUUAACCUUGGAAUUGCUUUCGAAACUAUGUGGCUAGAGUCUCGGAGAGGUUGGCGGAAUUCCCAGUGUAGAGGUGAAAUUCGUAGAUAUUGGGAGGAACACCAGUGGCGUAAGCGGCCAACUAGACGAGUACUGACGCUCAAGCACGAAAGCGUGGGGAUCAAACAGG
rnacentral:rRNA from 1 species